GUCAUAGAAAACUUAUAUUAUAUAUUUUCUGUGGUGGAAUGUGAAUUUUGGUUAACAAAUAAUUCUUUUAAUUGAUUACAUUGUUUUUACGGGAAAUUUAUUAAAAUAUGUUUCUUAAACAAUGUUGAUUUUACAAUAGAGGUGUUCUGAAAACCACAUAAAAUGUAUAGUGUUGUAACUCGGGCUGAUUCUAAAUAAUUACCCUGGAAUAGGGCACUUCUAACAGUUCUAACAUGGUUCUAACUGAUUCGGUUGGCUUCCGGAUUGUGUCUUUACUAAAACUUACUGAAAUAACGGAAGAAGGAAGGUGUGAAAUUUCAUUCUCUAAAGGAACAGAAAGCUGAAGCAAUCAGCAAAACAUCAGAACAUUACAUUGAAAUACAAAAGCCAUAGGAGGCGAUAUAAACAUGCAGUUAGAUGAUGUGAAAACCACAAAUCCUAAUAAAAAUUAAAGACAAGUAUCAGUACACAGGACAAUUAGGUGGUUAAGAAGAUCAAAAUGCUGAUACUCAAAAUAUUUUCCCAAUUCUCCAGGGAACAUUGCUUGAAAACUUGAGAAUUAUAAUAUAAGUGCAAACAACAAACAACCAUGUAAAGAGAAAUAAGAAUGGAUACGCUAUUGGAGGGUUGAGAUAACUAUUAUAUUACCAUCUGUUAAUCCUUGGAAUUUUGCUAACCAUCCACGUCCUCCGUUGUGUACUGAUGAUCCGUAUACAAUCUCA